rnacentral:rRNA from 1 species
UACGAAGGGGGCUAGCGUUGUUCGGAAUCACUGGGCGUAAAGCGCACGUAGGCGGAUCUUUAAGUCAGGGGUGAAAUCCCGAGGCUCAACCUCGGAACUGCCUUUGAUACUGGGGAUCUCGAGUCCGGGGAGAGGUGAGUGGAACUGCGAGUGUAGAGGUGAAAAUUCGUAGAUAUUCGCAAGAACACCAGUGGCGAAGGCGGCUCACUGGCUCAUAACUGACGCUCAUGCACGACAGCGUGGGGAUCAAACAGGAUUAG